UGAUAGUUGUUUCGCAUACCCUGAUUGAAUGUUUAUUGUAAUCUUCUCCACUAGCUGAUGACACUCUACUUUGCUCCACUUCUUUGAAGUUAAUGGUAGCCCCAGGUAUCUCAUAGGUAAUGUACCCACUAAGAACCAUGUAUCUCUCACAAUAUUCUAUUUUGUAGCCUCAUCCAACCCUGCUAAAAAUAUGUUUGAUUUCUCCAUAUUAGCUACCAGCCUUGACACUUCAUUGAAAUGGUUCACUACUUCCAACAUCCUAUGGAUAGAUUAACUGUUACCUUUGCAAAAUAAUAUCAAAUCAUCUGCAAAUAUCAUGUGUGUCAGUUUGGUGGUCUUGCACAUAUGGUGAAAUUGAAAAUCUGGGAGCUCACUCAUUUUAUUCAACCCUCUAGUUAGGUAAUCCAUAACAAGCACAAACAGUAAUAGAGACAUAGGAUCUCCCUAUCUCAACCCUCUUUUUCCUUCAAAGUAACCAUAUCCUGCACCAUUCACUUUUACAGUGAAUGUCGUUGCCACUCCUUCUCAAUUAAAAAUUUAUAACUGGUAAUACAAUUAAAAUCAAUUAAUUUUAUAUGACUUAAUUAUCUUAGCAAAAAUAAAAAAUAAAAAGAAAGAAAGACUAUUUAUGAAAAAGCAUGUUUGAUCCUCAGGUUAUAUAAUAGUAUGUCCAUUGCCUUUUAAUCAAAUCUAUAAAUUUUAUGUACUAAAAUUUAAAUACACAUUCUAAUAGAUAUUAUUAUUUGAUAUAAAUUAUUUCAAUAUCCAUAAUUAUCAUACUCUUUAAUUCAAUAUAAAAUUCUAAAAAUAUUUUGGAAAUGAUACUUAACAAUUGUACAUAGUUUAAUAAUUUUUAUAUGAUUAGUAAAGUUUUAUACUAAUUAAUAUGAGAUAUAUGCGCAAAGUACAAAGCCCUUUAGUGAAAUUGUCUUUUUUAUCCUUUAAAAAUAGAUUUCACGUUAGAUAAAUUUAUAAUUUUAAGUUGCUUUUACAAUUUUUAGGUAGAAAAUCCCAAUAUCUAACACAUUAAAUUUGUUUAACUUUUUACCAUAUAUGAAUUUCCUUAUUUGAAGUCCCUUAUUAUUAAAGCUAUCUUAAACUAUACGAUUUUCUUACUUUUAGAAACUUUAGAAAUUAUGCAUUAGCAAAAUUUUGUAGGAGUCAAAAGCACAAUAAUUCCUGAAGCACAACAAUUCAAAAUUGACAUACUAUUUAACUAUUUGAAAGUAGAAUUUUUAUUGAAUAAAAUUAUAAUUAUAAUAAGCAUUGGGUGGUUGUUGUUGUUGUUGCAUCUAAAAGGAGAAAACUUUUGCUGCUAAACCCGGUCCUACUUAAUUUCGGCUACCCAACCACAAAGUUUCUUAUCUUCUUAUGUCCCAUCCCCUGAUCCUUGUUUAUAAGACUGAACCAAUGUGACUAGAGUCCAACAUAUCAAAAAAGUGAAUCAAACUCCAACACAAUUGCCAAGAGUGCAAGUAGCUCAUUUCACAUCUAAUGCAAGCAAAUGUAGAUGAGACACAGAAUGGAAAAGUUUGUAGAAAGCCUUUAAUUGAGCUGAGAAUUGUAACAACCAAAGAUAUUACAUAAGUCUAAAUAAUAUGUAUUUAAUUGAACUGAGAAUUGCCCUCCUUUAAACUGGGCUGAUUUUCAAUAUUCCCUCUUAGGAUAGGGUAACUUUAAAGUUCAUAAAGAGAAAAUUAUAGUAUAUUUUAAUAUAUAUUUUUACUACUCUUUCUCUGUCAGUUAUUCUAAAAACACUAGGGUAUAUCCUUGAAUUUCUCAACAACUCUAACCUCCAUCCUCUACAAAAUUUACACCUGUUAACUCAGAAUGUCUCUCAUAUAACUUUUUUAUCACUUCUACUGAUUUACUAUAUGUUUGUGAACUCAAAUUUUAAAGACAAAUAGAAAUUAGAAAACAAAGAUAUCUCAAAAUUAGGAUUCAAUAGUAGACUGCAAUUCUAAUUACCUGGUUCAAUGUUGCUGGUUUUGCCAUACAAUAUUUCUCCAACACAAUAUUGCAAUAAGACUACAACUUUUUGAAGAAACUCCUUGAUUUUGAAACAUCUGCUCUCUUUUCCUACUACUGUAUGUUCACGCCUUCAAAGACAAUUGUCUUGUUGCUUCUAAAUCCCACUACAACAUCAUCUACAUCUCAAACAAACCAUUUUGCAAGCCC
rnacentral:lncRNA from 1 species